rnacentral:rRNA from 1 species
CCUACGGGAGGCUGCAGUGGGGAAUAUUGGACAAUGGGGGGAACCCUGAUCCAGCCAUGCCGCGUGUGUGAAGAAGGCCCUCGGGUUGUAAAGCACUUUCAGUGAGGAAGAACGCCUGGUGGUUAAUACCCAUCAGGAAAGACAUCACUCACAGAAGAAGCACCGGCUAACUCCGUGCCAGCAGCCGCGGUAAUACGGAGGGUGCGAGCGUUAAUCGGAAUUACUGGGCGUAAAGCGCGCGUAGGUGGCUUGAUAAGCCGGUUGUGAAAGCCCCGGGCUCAACCUGGGAACGGCAUCCGGAACUGUCAAGCUAGAGUGCAGGAGAGGAAGGUAGAAUUCCCGGUGUAGCGGUGAAAUGCGUAGAGAUCGGGAGGAAUACCAGUGGCGAAGGCGGCCUUCUGGACUGACACUGACACUGAGGUGCGAAAGCGUGGGUAGCAAACAGGAUUAGAUACCCUGGUAGUA